GAUGAACGCUGGCGGCGUGCCUAAUACAUGCAAGUAGAGCGAACAGACGAGGAGCUUGCUCCUCUGACGUUAGCGGCGGACGGGUGAGUAACACGUGGAUAACCUACCUAUAAGACUGGGAUAACUUCGGGAAACCGGAGCUAAUACCGGAUAAUAUAUUGAACCGCAUGGUUCAAUAGUGAAAGACGGUUUUGCUGUCACUUAUAGAUGGAUCCGCGCCGCAUUAGCUAGUUGGUAAGGUAACGGCUUACCAAGGCAACGAUGCGUAGCCGACCUGAGAGGGUGAUCGGCCACACUGGAACUGAGACACGGUCCAGACUCCUACGGGAGGCAGCAGUAGGGAAUCUUCCGCAAUGGGCGAAAGCCUGACGGAGCAACGCCGCGUGAGUGAUGAAGGUCUUCGGAUCGUAAAACGCUGUUAUUAGGGAAGAACAAAUGUGUAAGUAACUAUGCACGUCUGGACGGUACCUAAUCAGAAAGCCACGGCGAACUACGU
rnacentral:rRNA from 1 species